ACAGCAGUAGCCGCGGUAACACGAGGGGGGCAAGCGUUGUUCGGAAUUAUUGGGCGUAAAGGGUGCGUAGGCGGUUCAGCAAGUCUCGUGUGAAAUCUUCGGGCUCAACCCGAAGUCUGCACGGGAAACUACUGGGCUUGAGUAAUGGAGAGGUGAGUGGAAUUCCCAGUGUAGAGGUGAAAUUCGUAGAUAUUGGGAAGAACACCAGUGGCGAAGGCGGCGACCUGGUCCUUGACUGACGCUGAGGCGCGAAAGCGUGGGGAGCAAACAGGAUUAGAUACCCCUUAGUCCCUGUCUCUUAUACA
rnacentral:rRNA from 1 species